rnacentral:rRNA from 1 species
UUUCCUACGGGAGGCAGCAGUGAGGAAUAUUGGUCAAUGGGCGGGAGCCUGAACCAGCCAAGCCGCGUGAGGGAAGAAGGUACAGCGUAUCGUAAACCUCUUUUGUCAGGGAACAAAGGCGGGGACUAGUCCCCGGAUGAGGGUACCUGAAGAAAAAGCAUCGGCUAACUCCGUGCCAGCAGCCGCGGUAAUACGGAGGAUGCGAGCGUUAUCCGGAUUUAUUGGGUUUAAAGGGUGCGCAGGCGGGCUGUUAAGCCGGCGGUAAAAAUUCAGGGCUCAACCCUGUCGAGCC